rnacentral:ncRNA from 2 species
GGGAAGCCGGUGGGAAUCCGGCGCGGUCGCGCCGCUGUGACCAGCCUGGGCUGGAAGUCAGACC